AGUAUGUUUUCCACGUGUCGGAAGCAGAGGAGGAAUUGAUGUGAUGUUUACUUCAUUUUCAAACUGCCUUCGUCUUCUGCCUCCCACGCCUGGGUGAUGAAGGGGUGGAGAAUUGUCAGCCAUUUGGCCCUGAAAUAGAUUAUUGUGACGUCACACACUGUUGCCAUGGUCCUGCCAGGGUGCACCCAUCCUCACCUGGACUCUGUCUUCUACUACAGACCAUCCUCACCUGGACUCUGUCUUCUACUACAGACCAUCCUCACCUGGACUCUGUCUUCUACUACAGACCAUCCUCACCUGGACUCUGUCUUCUACUACAGACCAUCCUCACCUGGACUCUGUCUUCU